ensembl:misc_RNA Metazoa_SRP Metazoan signal recognition particle RNA
GCCGGGCAUGGUGGCUCAUGCCUGUAAUCCCAGCACUUUGGGAGGCUGAGGCGGGUGGAUUACCUGAGGUCAGGAGUUCGAGACCAGCCUGGCCAACAUGGUGAAACCCCAUCUCUA